UGAAAUGACGGAUCGUCGGCCCCGCGCCGGCGACUCGCCGAAUGAGUUCUGACCUAUCAACUCGAGACGGCGGGGUAGAGGCCCGCCGCGGUAACGACGGGUAACGGGGAAUCAGGGUUCGAUUCCGGAGAGGGAGCCCGAGAAAACGGCUACCACUUCCAAGGAAGGCAGCAGGCGCGCAACUUACCCUAAUCUCGAUUCGAGGAGGUAGUGACAAGAAAUACCGAUGCGGGACCCUACGGGUGCCGCGUUCGGAAUGAGUACGAUUCGAACCACCUAACGAGGAACGAUCGGAGGGCAAGUCUGGUGCCAGCAGCCGCGGUAAUUCCAGCUCCAAUAGCGUACGUUAAAGUUGCUGCAGUUAAAAAAGCUCGUAGUUGAACGUUCGGGUUCCGCGGGACGGGGCCGCCCCGCGAGGGACGGCGCCGCCCCGGGGCUCGUGAUAUCUCAUCUCGCCGCCCGUCGCGAGGCGGACGGA
rnacentral:rRNA from 1 species